AUGGCAACUGGACUGGGACGAGAUCCAUUCACGGGCCGCAUCCUGGCCAGCCCCGAAUGGUGGGUGCAAAUGGAAGGGAUGAGGAGAGGUGCCCGUGUGUUCAGGCAUGGACCUCUGAAGUUCAUUCCAGAGCAUCACGCGGUGUAUGGUGGUAGGACUGUCAUGCUGAACAGGUCGGGUGUUGCUGGGCACAGGCCGGCAGCACCACAGGUGCCACAAGAUGCUCAGAUCCUCGACGUUGAUGACCUCACCAACCUGGCACUCCUACCACCCUCUCCGGAGCCAUCUUCAGGACCGCGCAGAAGGGGCAAGAGAAUCAUGGCGCCGGGGUACUCUUCAGGUGGAAGCAGCAAGAGGACAAGGAGCGACUCCACCGGGGAUGCACUGAACAGGCUUGCGGACCUGAGGGUCCAGUCCAACGAAAGUCGGGCAAGGAGGGAGGAGCAGAAGCAAGCGAAGAGCGCUAGAGCAUGCAUGGAGAUGCUCAAGGCUGAUGGGAUUACUAGGCAGGAUCCCAUGUACCACACAGCCCUGAGGAUGUUUCGUGAUGGGUACCUGCGCGAUUUCUUCAUUGAGGACUGCAUCACACCAGAGGAGCGCCUCAACUUCAUCCACCAGCAUGGUGGACUACCCUACCCUCCAGCAUUCGCUCCAGACCGUCUGCUGUUUGCUCCACCGCCACCACCGACCUGCUCAGGCCAUAUGGACGACUGGUACAAGAGGUUUGGUCCUAAAGAUGAUGAUGGUGGCGAUGGUGCCAAUGGUGGUUCUGAUGGAAACAUGAGCACUUCGUCAGAAAGGUCAUAUGGUUCUGACGAUGGCUACUACAGUGAUGAAGAGGACUCCAUUCUGGACAUGUUGGUUGCAGCUUUAAAGGCAAGGCUAAGUGUGAGGGCAGCACGUCGGGAACCGCAACAAUCUGGAAUGGAAUGGAUGAUGGAGACAAUGGCAAACCCAUCUCAAUGCCAAGCAAUUUUCCGUCUGAUGCCGGAUCAAAUCCAUGCUCUGUUUGGGGUACUUACUAAUCGGUACAAUCUGCAUGGAUCAAUUGAGGUAUGCCCAAUGGAAGCACUUGGAAUAUUUCUGUACAUCAUGGCGGGGGGCAAUUCAAAUAGGGCGACUAAUAAUAGGAUGGUGCGAUCUGGGUCUACUGUCUCUAAGUACUUUCAUAGAGUGCUUAAUGCUAUUUAUGCAAUGGCUGCUGACAUAAACAAGCCG
rnacentral:lncRNA from 2 species